GAGUGUUAUCCUUCGACAGCUCAUAUACUAAAACUGGAACGAUACAGAGAAGAUUAGCAAGGCCCCUGCGCAAGGAUGACACGCAAAUUCCUGAAGCAUUCCAUAUUUUU